rnacentral:rRNA from 1 species
GACAGAGGAUGCAAGCGUUAUCCGGAAUGAUUGGGCGUAAAGCGUCUGUAGGUGGCUUUUUAAGUUCGCCGUCAAAUCCCAGGGCUCAACCCUGGACAGGUGGUGGAAACUGCCAAGCUAGAGUACGGUAGGGGCAGAGGGAAUUUCCGGUGGAGCGAUGAAAUGCGUAGAGAUCGGAAGGAACACCCAAGGCGAAAGCACUCUGCUGGGCCGACACUGACACUGAGAGACGAAAGCUAGGGGAGCAAAUGGG